rnacentral:rRNA from 1 species
GACGAACGCUGGCGGCGUGCUUAACACAUGCAAGUCGAACGGAAAGGCCCUGCUUUUGUGGGGUGCUCGAGUGGCGAACGGGUGAGUAACACGUGAGUAACCUGCCCUUGACUUUGGGAUAACUUCAGGAAACUGGGGCUAAUACCGGAUAGGAGCUCCUGCUGCAUGGUGGGGGUUGGAAAGUUUCGGCGGAUGGGGAUGGACUCGCGGCUUAUCAGCUUGUUGGUGGGGUAGUGGCUUACCAAGGCUUUGACGGGUAGCCGGCCUGAGAGGGUGACCGGCCACAUUGGUACUGCGAUACGGCCCAGACUCCUACGGGAGGCAGCAGUGGGGAAUAUUGCACAAUGGGCGGAAGCCUGAUGCAGCAACGCCGCGUGCGUGAUGACGGCCUUCGGGUUGUAAACCGCUUUCGCCUGUGACGAAGCUUGAGUGACGGUAAUGGGUAAAGAAGCACCGGCUAACUACGUG